rnacentral:rRNA from 1 species
GAUGAACGCUGGCGGCGUGCCUAAUACAUGCAAGUCGAGCGAACAGACGAGGAGCUUGCUCCUCUGACGUUAGCGGCGGACGGGUGAGUAACACGUGGAUAACCUACCUAUAAGACUGGGAUAACUUCGGAAACCGGAGCUAAUACCGGAUAAUAUAUUGAACCGCAUGGUUCAAUAGUGAAAGACGGUUUUGCUGUCACUUAUAGAUGGAUCCGCGCCGCAUUAGCUAGUUGGUAAGGUAACGGCUUACCAAGGCGACGAUGCGUAGCCGACCUGAGAGGGUGAUCGGCCACACUGGAACUGAGACACGGUCCAGACUCCUACGGGAGGCAGCAGUAGGGAAUCUUCCGCAAUGGGCGAAAGCCUGACGGAGCAACGCCGCGUGAGUGAUGAAGGUCUUCGGAUCGUAAAACUCUGUUAUUAGGGAAGAACAAAUGUGUAAGUAACUAUGCACGUCUUGACGGUACCUAAUCAGAAAGCCACGGCUAACUACGUG